ensembl:lncRNA
GCGAUGACAGAUGGGUGCCAGUCAAAGUGCUGAAUGCUACCGACAAGCCCAUAACUUUGCGGAGGAACACAAAGUUGGCUGAUGUAUUCCCUUGCGUAGCUCUGGAGGACUUGGACAUCGGUCCCCAGCAUCCAACCAGUCAUGAGCUGAAAGUCAUGAAUCAAACGACACAUGUCCCAGUUGUUGACCGUAUGCCUCCUGAGUUAAGUCUCCGCAGUAGACUGAGUAAACUUGGUCUAAGCGAUCUCGAUGUUGAUUCUUGUGAAGUGUCACAGCACUGGAAGGAACAACUUGUGCAGCUGAUAUGCAAAUAUGAGGAUGUGUUCUCAAAGAAUAAACUGGAUUGUGGCAAAGCAAAGGAUUUCUUUCACCGAAUACAUCUUGCAGAUAGUCGCCCCUUUAGACUGCCUUACCGACGUGUGCCACCAGCGCAUUAUCACAAGCUCAGACAUGUUCUUUCAGAAAUGGAGGAGCUUGAGAUCAUUCGCAAAUCCUCCAGCGAGUGGGCCUCCCCGCUGGUGCUUGUCUGGAAGAAGAGCGGAGAUCUACGCAUUUGUGUCGACUAUCGGUGGCUGAAUGCCCGCACUACUAAAGACGCACAUCCCUUGCCACACCAGGCAGAUUGUCUAGCUGCGCUUGGCGGCAAUGCCAUAUUCAGUGCUAUGGAUCUUACCUCAGGAUUCUACAAUAUAGAGAUGGCUGAGGAAGAUAAAAACUUCACUGCAUUCACAACACCCAUGGGACUUUAUGAAUUUAAUAGGCUCCCUCAAGGAUUGUGUAAUAGUCCUGCAAGUUUUAUGCGUCUCAUGAUGGGCAUAUUUGGAGACCAGAACUUUCUGACCAUACUUUGCUACCUAGACGACCUCCUAGUAUUUGCACCAAAUGAAAGUGUGGCAUUGGAGAGGCUUGAGUUGGUGUUCAGCCGUCUGAGAGCUCAUGGUUUGAAACUUGCGCCGAAAAAAUGCCACUUGUUACGUCGGACUGUACGGUUUCUAGGCCACGUGAUCGAUGAAAAAGGGGUAGCGGCCGAUCCUGAUAAAGUCCAGGCCAUUACAGCAAUGACUGAAAGAGACCUUAUGAUGGAAGAUGGGGUUACACCAUCUCAGAAAAAGAUAAAAUCGUUUCUGGGGAUGGUUAUGUUUUACCAGCGCUUUAUACAGAACUGUUCUAGCAUAG